ensembl:misc_RNA Metazoa_SRP Metazoan signal recognition particle RNA
GCCGGGUGUGGUGGUGCACACCUGUAAUCCCAGCUACUUGGGAGGCUGAGGCUGGAGAAUCACUUGAACCAGGGACGUGGAGACUGCAGUGAGCAGAGAUCGUGCCACUGCACUCUAGCCUGGGUGACAAAGCAAGACUCCGUCUCAA